GAGGAGCGCGCGGAGCGCGGUGAAAAUUUAGCCACCGCUAGGGGCACUGCUGUGUUCAAAGGUGCCACGCUUGCGACGGCCGGGCACCGACAAGGCUUCGCCGGCUGCGUUGACGCUUCGCUGUCGCCUCUGUCGUCGUCAGUGAAAUUUGUCUGCAGUGUUGGGUCGUCGCGUUGCCACACGAGGAAUGGACUCUUCAGAUUCAGACUGUUGGAUGUAAUGAACCCUGCCGUCAAGCCGCUCAAGCACGUGCUUUAUACCUGGAUGCAAAGGCGGGUAUCGAUCUUUCUCGCAAAAGCUUUCUGUGUUUGAAAGCCCCAACUGAUGUCUUGGAAAGGGAGCAGUGGACCUGAAAUAUUAAACGGGCUGAAAAAGAUCUUACCAACGACAGCGUGGUUUGUGAACGGCACUUCGACGAAAGGUUCGUCGAAAGGACCUACCGGCACACAGUCAACGGUGAGGUUGUGGAAUUGCCGCGCGAUCGUCCGCGUCUGAAAGAAGACGCCGUGCCCACUGUGUUCCCUGAGGCACCUAAGUAUUUCACGAAGCUCCGAUGAAAAGGAAAGAGAGAAAUAUAUGCGAGCAGCUUGGACCUGCUGCAAAACGGCAAAAGCUGAACGCAAUCAACAGGCAAGACGCCCAGCAAGAUGACACCGUAGCGCACACGCAGCUACGCCAGGGGCCAGAUAUACCAGAUAUCAUUGCCUCAAUAAACAGCACGCCGUGCAACUUGAGCGUGCGUGUCAUAAUGUCUGCCUACCUGAUGCAACAUGGAGUAAGGUAACGUUUCCAAGUGAACGUUACAGUGUGUUUUUCGGAACCAUGUGAGCUCGAGGGCGAGCACGUUGACCACAUCUUGGUGCCGAAGUUAGUGAAAUUCAAGUCGGAAAGCAACCAGCAACCAACCGGAGUCGUUGUGUUGCUCUGUAUUCCUCAGGGGCCAAUUGCGCUCACAGUGCACUGUUUCUUCGCCGGAGGAAGCGCAGUCAGUGCUCCACAGCACACAUGCACUUAUGUUGUGUGGAGGCUGCGGCGUGAAACCAGAGGAGCAAGGAAGAUAUAUAUCGUUUGCUGGGUGCUACCUUUCCAUCAAGUGCACUUACGUAUGUGAAAGUAACGGCCCCUGCAUUCAUUGCAAAUACUUGAGAAAACUGCUGCAGAAUCAAUUUUCACGAAAGCGACGGAACGGGAGUGAAACAGUUAAAAAAAAUAAUGAAUGAAAAUGUUCGGUGCGACAGAGCCCUGACUACAGCAUUGCCAUUUCUACUCUAAAAAUAUAAGCUCUCCAAGGAAAAAGAAAAGAGAAAAUUAAAUUUAAAUUAUUUCAACACUGAACAAAACCUUCGAGAGCGAAAAAUAGACACGCGAACCAUUGCUUCUUAUAAGAGGAAAUAUUAAGCAGUUUACACUCCAAAAAAGCCCAUAAAGAAACAAACACUCAAGACAUAGUUUGACUGCGCUCACGUAAAUGGAUUAAUUCACAUGAAGUUGGCGAAACAUGUCAAAUCUGGUCAAUGCUGAGAAACAUUUAAUUAUAAACUAAACGCCGGUUGCCUGCUGCGUCUGUUAAAAUAUUGUGGUUUUCGUUUAUGUUAAAUACACCAUUUAAAAUUUCAAACGCGCGCUUUUCAACGAACUAACAAAAUGACUAGUUCAUGUCCUGUUAACACGGACGCGGCGUGUAAUUAUUAGAAACAAGGUGAAAGUAUAAACAGGCCGUGUCUGCUGUGCCCGGGGCACAGCAGACGAAAGGUGCCCGAAAUGUCUACGUUCACCCAUGACGUCACGUCCGCUAUAACCCAUGAUGUCACAUCCGCUCAUUUCCAUGGCGGCCGUCUUACGGAGCCGGCUGCGCUGCGAAACGGUCCGUAUUCCAUGCCCACUUAGAGCACUGAACAUCCCACAUCUUGGUUUGACUUCCUGGUACAGGAUACUUGCACUUAGCAUGGAGUGAUGAAGCAGAGCAGUGUACUUUUAUUAAAUGUGCAGAUUUUAGCAGUAUAACAGCAGUUCGUUAAAAAAACGUGUGCUGAAAAUAAAGUGUUCUUACCCACA